rnacentral:rRNA from 1 species
UACGUAGGGUGCAAGCGUUAAUCGGAAUUACUGGGCGUAAAGCGUGCGUAGUCGGUAUUGAGAGUCGCGGGUGAAAAUCCCAGGGCUUAACCCUGGAACUGCCUGCGAGACCUCAGUACUAGAGUGUGAGAGGGGAUAGUGGAAUACCAAGUGUAGCGGUGAAAUGCGUAGAUAUCAGGAGGAACACCUGUGGCGAAAGCGGCUCACUGGACCAUAACUGACGCUGAUGCACGAAAGCUAGGGGAGCAAACAGG